rnacentral:rRNA from 1 species
AUGAACGCUGGCGGCGUGCCUAAUACAUGCAAGUCGAGCGAACGGACGAGAAGCUUGCUUUUCUGAUGUUAGCGGCGGACGGGUGAGUAACACGUGGAUAACCUACCUAUAAGACUGGGAUAACUUCGGGAAACCGGAGCUAAUACCGGAUAAUAUUUUGAACCGCAUGGUUCAAAAGUGAAAGACGGUCUUGCUGUCACUUAUAGAUGGAUCCGCGCUGCAUUAGCUAGUUGGUAAGGUAACGGCUUACCAAGGCAACGAUGCAUAGCCGACCUGAGAGGGUGAUCGGCCACACUGGAACUGAGACACGGUCCAGACUCCUACGGGAGGCAGCAGUAGGGAAUCUUCCGCAAUGGGCGAAAGCCUGACGGAGCAACGCCGCGUGAGUGAUGAAGGUCUUCGGAUCGUAAAACUCUGUUAUUAGGGAAGAACAUAUGUGUAAGUAACUGUGCACAUCUUGACGGUACCUAAUCAGAAAGCCACGGCUAACUACGCG